rnacentral:rRNA from 1 species
CAGCAGCCGCGGGAAUACGGAGGGGGCUAGCGUUGUUCGGAAUUACUGGGCGUAAAGCGCACGUAGGCGGCUUGGUAAGUUAGAGGUGAAAGCCCGGAGCUCAACUCCGGAAUCGCCUUUAAGACUGCCGAGCUAGUAGGUGAGAGAGGUAAGUGGAAUUCCGAGUGUAGAGGUGAAAUUCGUAGAUAUUCGGAAGAACACCAGUGGCGAAGGCGGCUUACUGGCUCAUUCUAGACGCUGAGGUGCGAAAGCGUGGGGAGCAAACAGGAUUAGAUACCCCUGUAGUCCCUGUCUCUUAUAC